CCUGCUGUGCUCCCCAUGGUCCUGGAGUGCAAGGCCCCAAAAGAAGGCGGGUCCGUGACCCUGGCCUGCUUGGUGACGGGGUCCAACACAGCCACCUGGGACAUAGGAGCAGAGAAGCUGCCUGCAAAAGCCUCUGUGAUGGGACACUUUGAGAAGAUGGGACACUUAGGGGAGACGGUCCCCUACCUCUUCUACCAAACCUUCGUCUGGAAGCCUGUCCCAUACAGCUGCAGCACCAAGCACAUGUCCAAGACCUUCCAGUGGCCAGCAUCUUGGAAAACCCGGAAGGACGAGGCUGAGCUGACCACCUCGGUGACCCACACGUCACCUUUCUCAGAGAAACUCACCCCAAACACCACCACUACCGGAGGCCCAG